rnacentral:lncRNA from 1 species
CUCCACCUCGUCGUCGGAGGCCGCCUGGGUUUCCUCCUCACCCGUCGUAUUGCCCCCGGUAGCAGUCGAAGGCAUUACUGGCCCCCGGGCUAGACCAUGGGAGCCUGUAGUCGAAGCGGCCCUUACUCGGGGUGGCGUGGGGGUUUCGCUCUCCUCGGCGGGAGGGGUCGGGCCUCUCCUCUCCCCUUCUGUGGCGUUCGUUGGGGGAGGUGCCUCUGUAGCCCCCUCAGCCCUAGCCGGGCUGCUCGACGUGGUCGGUGCCGCAGCUGGGGGCUCCUCGUUGCUCACAGGCACGGUUGCAGCCGCAGGCUGCUCCGUGGUCUGUGGCGCCGGGUCUUCAGCAGCACAGGCAGGCUCACCCGUCUCCUGGCCGGCGGCAUGGCCAGGGUUGACAUCCGACGCCGCGCUAAAAGAACAAAAGUAUAAUUUAAAAAAAAAACAAAAUAAUGCCAAAAUACGUAAGUCAGACACUUACAGGUCCGAUCGACGAUGGGUCGCGGUGAACCUCCUCCUCGUCCGGCCAAUUGGCACCUGCGCUCCCAUCUCGACAACGCGUGGUGCAGGAGGGUCGCUGGCCACCCGACCAGUAGUGGCUGGCGCACUAUCUGGGCGGCUCCGAGGUCGUCGAACUAGCGACGGUGCGGCCUCCUCGUCGUCGUCGUCGUCAACAAUCCGCACGAGCCGACGGCGCUUCGGCGCUUGGCUGCUCUCCGCCGGC